GGUGAGGCAGAGGAUAGUUACCCCCACAGCAAUUGGUGAAUAGCCAUUGCUAUAGUCCAAUUGGUGUGGGGGAGGAAAGUCCGGGCUCCUUUAGGGUCCCGUAGUGGGUAAUGCCCAUCCCCCCAUAGCAAUUGGUAAAUAGCCAUUGCUAUAGUCAAUUUGGUGUGGGGGCGGAUUAGAGCUACAGAGACGAGCCUCGCUGAUUUAUUUUAACUGGCGGGAGGUGAAACGUCGCAAUCUCUACGGGGAGCAAGGCCAAAUAGAGAAGAGGGACGGACCCGUCCCGUAUGAUUCCAGGUAGGCUGCUUGAAUCCGGCGGCAACGCCGGAGCUUAGAGAAAUGACUAUCUAACGGCGCAAAUUCGCCAACAUACAGAACCCGGCUUAUUCUGCUUCGCCCCUA
rnacentral:RNase_P_RNA from 1 species